GCGCCUGUAGCUUAGUGGAUAGAGCGCUUGUUUCCUGAGCUGAAGGUCGUAGGUUCGACCCCUACUUGGCACA
rfam:Nicotiana attenuata strain TT chromosome 9, whole genome shotgun sequence.